rnacentral:rRNA from 1 species
UACGUAGGCGGAAAAUUAAGUCAGUGGUGAAAUCCUGCAGCUUAACUGUAGAACUGUCAUUGAUACUGGUUUUCUUGAAUAUAGUUGAGGUAGGCGGAAUGUGUAAUGUAGCGGUGAAAUGCUUAGAUAUUACACAGAACACCGAUUGCGAAGGCAGCUUACUAAGCUAUGAUUGACGCUGAGGUACGAAAGCGUGGGGGGCGAACAGGAUUAGAUACCCUGGUAGUCC